UACCAGCUCCCUGAGUGGUAGGGACAAUUAUUUGGCCUAAAGCGUCCGUAGCCUGCUUGGUAAGUCUUUCGUAAAAUCCAACGACUUAAUCGUUGGCACGCGUAAGAUACUGCUAGGCUAGAGGACGGGAGAAGUUGACGGUAGUCCCAGGGUAGGGGUGAAAUCCAAUAAUCCUGGGAGGACCACCAGUGGCGAAGGCGGUCAACAAGAACGUGCCUGACGGUGAUGGACGAAAGCUGGGGGAGCGAACCGGAUUAGACACCCGGGUAGUCCCAGCUGUAAACGAUGCGGGCUAGGUGUUAGGGCAGCUACGUGCUGCUCUAGUGCCGCAGAGAAGUCGUUAAGCCCGCCGCCUGGGGAGUACGAUCGCAAGAUUGAAACUUAAAGGAAUUGGCGGGGGAGCACCACAAGGGGUGAAGGCUGCGGUUU
rnacentral:rRNA from 1 species